UAUACCGUGAAACUGCGAAUGGCUCAUUAAAUCAGUUAUCGUUUAUUUGAUAGUACCUUACUACUUGGAUAACCGUGGUAAUUCUAGAGCUAAUACAUGCUAAAAAGUCCGACUUCGGGAGGGCUGUAUUUAUUAGAUAAAAAACCAAUGCCCUUCGGGGCUCCUUGGUGAUUCAUGAUAACUUCUCAGAUCGCAUAGCCUUGAGCUGGCGACGGUUCAUUCAAAUUUCUGCCCUAUCAACUUUCGAUGGUAUGGUAUUGGCUUACCAUGGUUUCAACGGGUAACGGGGAAUUAGGGUUCGAUUCCGGAGAGUUAGCCGGAGGAACGGCUAACACAUCCAAGGAAGGCAGCAGGCGCGCAAAUUACCCAAUUCCGAUGCGGAGAGGUAGUGACAAUAAAUACUGAUACAGGGCUCUUUUGGGUCUUGUAAUUGGAAUGAGUACAAUUUAAACCUCUUAACGAGGAACAAUUGGAGGGCAAGUCUGGUGCCAGCAGCCGCGGUAAUUCCAGCUCCAAUAGCGUAUAUUAAAAUUGUUGCAGUUAAAAAGCUCGUAGUUGAACCUUUGGCCUGGCUGGCGGGUCCGCCUCACCGCGUGCACUUGCCCGGCCGGGCCUUUUCUUCCGGAGAACCGCAUGCCCUUCGCUGGGUGUGUUGGGGACCGGGACUUUUACUUUGAAAAAAUUAGAGUGUUCAAAGCAGGCCUUUGCUCGAAUACGUUAGCAUGGAAUAAUAGAAUAGGACGUCGCGGUCCUAUUUUGUUGGUUUCUAGGACCGCCGUAAUGAUUAAUAGGGACAGUUGGGGGUAUCAGUAUUCAAUUGUCAGAGGUGAAAUUCUUGGAUUUAUUGAAGACUAACUA
rnacentral:rRNA from 1 species